ACACAGCCCAUCUCAAGAAUCACUGGUUCCUCAAAAAAAAUAAUUCAUUUCCACUAUCCACCUCGCGCCGCGCUCGCUCCUCCGCCCUCUCGCUCACCGGCGUGGGGAGCUCCGGCGGCUCCGGAAGAAGCCCCCGAGCACGCACCCGAAGACGCCGAGGGAAGUGGACGCCAGGGGCGGGAGCUCCUCCACGAGCUUGGAGACCUCGGUGUUGACUUGGGCCGGAGAAGUCGGUCGGUGCUGCCUGCUCUUGGAUUGGGUUCACGAGCCGAGCUCAGGGCGCGCCACCUGUUCGACGGAAUGCUCAACAAGACUGCGGCGAGCGGCAGGUGUCAAUUCGACGACCUCACUGACGACCUCCUCCGGCACGUGCUGUCCUUUCUGCCUGCGGCUGAUGCUCUGCAAACUUGCGUGCUCGACACCGGGUGGCGUGACCAUUGCAGGCGCACCACCAGCCUGCCCCUCAUCUUUGACCAGUCGAGUUUCCCGAGCUCCGAACGUUUCAAACAGCUGGUGAAGCUCUUCAUCCACCUCCGCGGGGACUCGCCUCUCGACAAGUGCAAGAUCGUUGGCUGUCUUGAUGAUGAUGAUGAUGAUGAGCGCACAUACACAAACACCAUGCUGUUGAUCCAGUAUGCUCUAAAGUGCCAAGUUAAGGAGCUCCAGCUCAGUGUUGCUAUUGAAGAAGAUGAUGAUAAUGACAUUGAGUAUGACCCACUAGUACUCGAUGUGCCUCUCAUCUCCCAGCACUAGAAGAUCCUACACCUUAAUCGGGUUGACCUAAAACGCUCCACUCUGAAUUUCUCGCGCUGCUCGGUAUUGGAGGAACUAGAGAUGCAAGAUUGCUACAUUGAUGCACGCAGGAUAUCUUCCAAAUCGCUAAAGCGUCUCUGCAUUACCGACUUUUGUUCCUUCCCUACGAAGUUUCACAUUCGGAUAUUUGCUCCGGGUCUUAUCUCACUGCAACUUGAUAAUUUUGAUGGCUUGACCCCUUCCCUUGAAUACAUGCCAUCUCUAGAAACAGCUUAUGUUUGGCUUCACAAUAGUUGCUAUGAUUCUUGUCAUAGUAACCGACAGAAUUGUGAGUAUGAGGACUGUAGCUGUCAUGCUUAUCCAGUUGAUGAAGGUGUGCUUCUCCAUGGUUUGUCCAAUGCUGUGAAUUUGGAGUUGGUAGGCGAUGCUUAUUUCGAACUGUUUAUCUAUAGAUGGGAUUUAGAAUGCUGCCCUAUAUUUGACAAACUAAAGACUCUAUCACUCAAUGAGUGGUUUACGACUAUUGACCUACUGUGCAUUCUCCAACACUCUCCAGUUCUUGAGGUGCUCACUCUUCAGCUUGGUAGCACUGAGAAAUUCGUUAGAGCAACAGGAGCAGAAGAAAAGAUAGAGCAAUCAUUUUGUAUGCUUGCACCUUAAGGUUGUCAACAUUGAAUGUAGAAAGGUCGAUGAGGGAGUUCACAAAAUUCUGAAGUUCUUGAGUACAUGUGGCAUACUUCGUGAUCAAAUUAGCAUCACUCAUACCGUUUCGGUUUCCAGAAGCCUAUGGGUCCCUUGCCUCGGUCUACCGCAGAACCAGGCGUCCCCCUGACACCGCUUGAGAUGUGAUACAUGCUCGCUUGUGAUGGUGGUCUGAAGCAUUGUGUGUCUCUCUGAAUAUGUCUGUAACGACAGUCCUGUUAGUUGUUACCACCAUAUUUAGUUUCCAGCUUUCUAUCCUUUGGCACUGUACUGGAAACCUGCGUGUUUGUUGUUUGGUGAAACUCAUGAAAAUGGAUUUUAGCUGC